GAUGAACGCUAGCGGCAGGCCUAACACAUGCAAGUCGAGGGGCAGCACGUCUUCGGAUGGUGGCGACCGGCGCACGGGUGCGUAACGCGUAUGCAACCUACCUCUUACAGUGGGAUAGCCCAGAGAAAUUUGGAUUAAUACCGCAUAGUAUACAGAUUCAGCAUUGGGACUGUAUUAAACAUUUAUGGGUAAGAGAUGGGCAUGCGUUCAUUAGUUAGUUGGAGUGGUAACGGCACCCCAAGACAGCGAUAGAUAGGGGCCCUGAGAGGGGGAUCCCCCANACUGGUACUGAGACACGGACCAGACUCCUACGGGAGGCAGCAGUGAGGAAUAUUGGACAAUGGGCGAGAGCCUGAUCCAGCCAUGCCGCGUGCAGGAAGACGGCCCUAUGGGUUGUAAACUGC
rnacentral:rRNA from 1 species